AGGAGCCCGCCUGCUGUGGUGCGCACGUGUGUUGGGCGAGGGGUCGUCGGCGAGCUGCCGUACUGCCGUGUCCGCCAGCAGCGACACAGGAUUUGAUUUAUCUCCUACUUGGAAACUGUCAUGAAUCCAAUAGCGAUGACGCAGUUCGCUUUCAGCGUUUUGGUAGCCUGCGUCGCUCUAUACCAAGCCACAUACAGCGAGGACAUCAGCGCCGCCUGCAGGUGCGCUAUCUUCCUGCCAACGCCGGGAGCGCAGGUGUUCCUCUACUGCUGGGCGGCGCACAACGUUAUGGAGCAGG